UCUGUCACCCAGGCUGGGGUGCAGUGGCACAAUCUUGGCUCACUGUAACCUCUGCCUCCCGGGUUCAAGCGAUUCUCCUGCCUCAGCCUCCCGAGUAGCUGAGAUUACAGGCAUGCACCACCACACCCAGCUAAUUUUCUUAUCUUUAGUAGAGAUGGGGUUUGGCCAUGUUGGCCAGGUUGGUCUUGAACUCCUGACCUCAAGCUAUCCGCCCCCUUGGCCUCCCUAAAUAUUGGGAUUACAGGCGUGAGCCACUGCGCCCAGCCUCUAGCAGUUAAUUUCCAAUCCAAACAAGUCAAAAUUCCUUAGCCAGUUCUCAGGGUCCUCCAUAAUUUCACACCACCCUAAAUUAUAACCCUAUGUUAUAUAUUGCCCCGUAUGCUGGACAGCAACCUGUAAACUCAUGAGAACAGGAACGGUUUCUAUCUUGCUAACCUCUGUAUCUCCAGGUAUCUAAGCGAAUGCUUAGUUUUCAGUGAUUAUCUCCCAAAUGAAUGAAUACAUGAUAAACAUUUGUUACUGGACUGAUUAAAGAAGAUGCAGAAGUAUUUGCUGAUCACUUGAUUUGGUGAUCUGAGAUACCGGUAAGUCACUCAGUCUCUAAGAAAGUAAAGGAGAGAGAAACAAGAUGUCUAGCAGGUUGUACCCACAAAUAUCUGUAAUCCUAAGCUCCCACAGAUGCCAACAGAAUCCAUGACAAUGCCACCUUGAGGUUAAAAAAAUGUCCUCAAAUAAAAGGUGACUGAAUCUCUGGAAGCUCCUAAAGUUGUCUGAAUUCAAGUGAAACCAUGGUUUUAAGGUCUUUAAAAGGUGAGUUAAUCCCACAGAAGUCUGUAGCACUGAUCCUACGGAAAAGGAGACAAAAUGGAGACUCCCAUGGGGGCCUAGGGUAGCUACAGAAAGGGACAGGGGAGGAAGCAGGGCAGAACCAGGGACAAGGAGGCAGAGUCAUGAAGACUGGGGUGGCUGUGGCAGUUUCUUAAAAUAAGACAAUAAUGAAGUUUGCCACAUUGAUUGACUCUUUUAUUUAUUUAUUUAUUUUUUUGGUGAGAUGCGAGUUUCGCUCUUGUUGUCCAGGCUGGAGUGCGGUGGCGUGAUCUCGGCUCAUCACAACCUCCACCUCCCAGGUUCAAGUGAUUCUCCUGCCUCAGGCUCCCAAGUAGUGGGAUUACAGGCAUCUGCCACCAAACCUGGCUAAUUUUUGUACUUUUAGUAGAGACGGGGUUUUGCCAUGUUGGCCAGGCUGGUCUUGAACUCCUGACCUCAGGUGAUCCACCCGCCUUGGCCUCCCAAAGUGCUGCGAUUACAGGCGUGAGCCAGCGCACCUGGCCCAAUUGAUUAUUCCUUUCAUGAAAGAUUUCUCUAUGGCAUGUGAUGCUGUUUGAUAGCAUUUUACCCAGAGUAGAACUUCUUUCAAAAUUGGAGUCAAUCCUCUCAAACCCUGCCGCUGCUUUAUCAACUAAGUAAUGUAAUGUAAAGUUAUGUAAUAUUCUCAGUCCUUUGUUGUCAUUUCAACAAUAUUCACAGCGUCUUCAACAGGAGUAGAUUCUAUCUCAAGAAACCACUUUCUCUGCUCAUCUGUGAGAAGCAACUACUCACCCAAUCAAGUUUGAUCAAUAAAUUGCAGCAAUUUGGUUGCAUCUCCAGGCUCCACUUCUAAUGCUAGUUCUCUUGCUAUUUCUACCACAUCUGCAGUUCCCUCCUCCAAUGAAGUCUUGAACCCUUCAAAGUGAUCCAUGAGGGCUGGAAUCAGUUUCUUCCAAACUCCUGUUAAUGUUGAUAUUUUGACCUCCUCCCAUGAAUCAUGAAUAUUCUUAAUAGCAUCUAGGAUGGUGACUCCUUUCCAGAAGGUUUUCAAUUGACUUUGCCCAGAUCCAUCAGAGGAAUCACUAUCUAUGGCAGCUGUAGCUUUAUGAAAUGUAUUUAUUAAGUAAUAAGACUUGAAAGUCAAAAUUACUCCUUGACUUCUGGGUUGUAGAAUGGAUGUUGUAUUUGCAGGCAUGAAAAAUAUUAAUCUUCUUGUAUAUCUCCAUGAGAGCUCUUGGGUAACCAGAUGCACUGUAAUGAGCAGUAAUAUUUUGAAAGGAAUCUUUUUUCUGAGUAGUAGGUCUCACCUGGGCUUAAACUAUUCCAUAAACUGUGAAAACAGAUGUGCUGUCGUCCAGACUUUGUUGUUCCAUUUACAGAGCACAGGCAGAGUGUAUUUAGUAGCACUGGCUUCAACUUAAAGUCACAAGCUGUACUAACAAGACUCAGCCUGUCCUUUGAAGCUCUGAAGCCAGGCAUGGACUUCUCUUCUCCAGCUAUGAAAGUCCUAGAUGGCAUCUUCUUCCAGUAGAAGGCCGUUUCACCUACAGUGAAGCUGUUUGACGUAGCCACCUUCAUCAAUGAGCGUAGCUAGAUCUUCUGGACAGCUUACUGCAGCUUCUCCAUUAGCACUCGCUGCUUCACCUUGCACUUUUAUGUUAUGGAGAUGGCUUUUUUCUUUAAACCUCAUGAACCAACCUCUGCUAGCUUCACACUUUUCUUCUGCAGCUUCUUCGCCUCUCUCAGCAUUCAAAGAAUUGAAGAGUUAGGGCCUUGCUCUGGGUUAGCCUGAAAGGAAUGUUGUGGCUGGUUUGAUCUUCUAUCCAGACCACUAAAACUUUCUCCAUAUCAACAAUCAGGAUGUCCCACUUUCUUAUCAUUCAUGUUUUCACUGACGUAGCACUUUCAUUUCCUUCAGGAACUCUUCCUUUACAUUUACAUACUUAACUGGUAUAAGAGCCCCCUAGCUUUAGGCCUGUCUCGGUUUUGGACAUGCCUUCACCGUCAUCAUUCUAGCUUUGGAUUUAAAAUGAGAGAUGCGCAGCUCUUCCUUUCUCUUGAACACUUUAUAGGCCACUAUAGGGUUAUCAAUUGGCCUAAUUUCAAAAUUGUUGUGUUUCAGGGAAUAGGGAGACCCAAGGAGAGGGAGACACAGGAGAGCAGUUGGGACACACACAACACUGAUCAAGUUUGACACAGGAGAGCAGUUGGGACACACACAACACUGAUCAAGUUUGCUGUCUUAUACAGGUGUGGUUCAUGGUGCCCCAAAACAAUGACAAUAGUAGUAUCAAAGCUCGCUGAUCUCAGAGCACUAUAACAGACAUAAUAGUAAGGAAAAAGUUGGAAAUGUUUGAGAAUUACCAAAAUGUGACAUUGAAACACGGAGUGAGUGUGUGCUGUUGGAAGAACAGACUGGCGCUGACAAGACUUGCUCAGCGCCAGGUUGCCACAAACCUUCGAUUUGUAAAAACCACCAAUUAAUUGUGAAACGUAAUAAAGCAAAGUACAGUAAAAUGAGGGAUGCCUGUAUGAGGUGUGAUAAGGUAACCACGUGACACAGGCCAUGCCAAGGCUCCCUUACUUCUCCCCUUCUUCCUGCCAUGAUUCUAGCUGGAAAUAACCAACCUUCGGAAUUUGUACCUUCAGGGUAUCGGGUUAUUACAGCACACACAGCUUUCACCUCUUCCAAAGCCCACCACUAAGCAAAGCUGACAGCCCACAGAUUAUCAAAUGUUUAUGUGCACACAGCAUCACACUGCACACAGCACACCCCCCACACACAGAGAAAAGGAGAGUUUCUGUGACAAAGUGCUCAGGUAAGAGGAAAACCACUGAAGCCUCACUGCUGCCUGUGGAACACCCUGAACCCCACAGUUGUCCUUCACUCCUGAGGCCGAAAGGAAUUCCACAGAAUGCCUGGCUGUUGAGAGCCACGCUGUUUCUGGCUGUCACCUGGAAGACAAACUACUGAGCUGGUGCUGGUGG
rnacentral:lncRNA from 10 species